rnacentral:rRNA from 1 species
UACGAAGGGGGCUAGCGUUGCUCGGAAUCACUGGGCGUAAAGGGUGCGUAGGCGGGUCUUUAAGUCAGGGGUGAAAUCCUGGAGCUCAACUCCAGAACUGCCUUUGAUACUGAGGAUCUUGAGUCCGGGAGAGGUGAGUGGAACUGCGAGUGUAGAGGUGAAAUUCGUAGAUAUUAGGAAGAACACCGGUGGCGAAGGCGGCCCACUGGAUCGGUACUGACGCUGAGGUGCGAAAGCGUGGGGAGCAACAGG